UCCCUCUCCUUUCUUUACACAGCUCCUAACUGACGGGCUGAACUGUUACAUUGGCCCAACCCAGCUCCAAGCUAACAUUUGCAUUUUAAAAAAGGACUACUGCUAAACUGCAUACAUUUUCACUUUAUUUAGUAAAUAGUGAGCGUAUCUAGUGUGAGAAACACUGAUGCAAUUUCCUGGGAGAAAAAGGGUAGGGGACCCAACAAUGAACAGCCCCCAGUUUUCUGCCCUUAGUGGUGUUUGCUGUCUCUUGGGGAAGACAGACAGACAAGCACACCAACCGCACAAAGAAGGAAGAGGCCUAGAAGGAGGAAGUGUUUUCUGUGGGCUGAGAAUGGAAAUGCUUGUCCGAGGUUCUCCGUGGGAACUUGGAAAUGUGUUGCUGCUUUUAAAUCCAAACCCAGAAACUUCUGAAAUUUUUUCUGCACUCAGUGGAAAAUCACUCCCUUGUAUCAGAAAUAUCAAGAAGUUUAAUGAAGGCAAAGAUACAUCCCCUCUAGAGAGCCCAGAAAAGCUGAAUGGCUGGCUGCUCUGCACUCACCUCAACUGGGGACGCCUCAUGCCACCUCUGUAUAUCAGGUCUGCUCACCUGGGCUUUGCUGCCACCUAGGAUCUUCUGCAGUAAUUAUCUUGACCAAAAGCCACAAUGAGCUCCACAUUAGACCUGCAGGAUCUGACAGGUGGAAUGAACCCCUCCCAGCUCAUCUAGAUCUCUGCUCUAACUUUGAAGUGAGUGAACAAGUGGACGCGGAACCGUAUACUCUGGAGAAGGGUAUAAGGAGGAGAAAAAAAGGAUGAGCCCCAGCGAAGGCCUUCAAUUGAAAGGCAGGAGAAGGAUUCACCAUGGGGAACAAGAGGAGUAGUCAGAAGGCAAACCAUCAGAAACAGAAUCAUGCAGGGGAGGAGAAAUCUAAGACGGUAGGCGUGUCAAAAGUGCCAAAUAUUAUGGAGAGGUUAUAAAGAACAAGAAUGAAGAAAAAGUCAUUGGGCAAUUAAAAAAAAUAAGACAAAAUGUCUAUUACUAACCUAGACCAGCAGCAUAUUUUGGUUGGGCAAGAGUUGGGGAUCCACUGCAGCUUGGAAGAGUAGAUAACACCAAUCCCCAGCCUCGCACCAUUGGCAUGCUCCCUGAGCCCACUCCUCACAGCAUCCACUCACAUUAGUGCCUUGAAUUCUGCAGCAAACAAAGGUGAGAAGUGCCCCCUCAUAUCUAUUUGCAUAUACCAAUUUGCAUUUAAAACAAGAACUUUACCAGGUGUUAAAAGGGACUGGAAUUCUGAUCCUCAUUUAGAUUCAAGGAUGUUAGCAGCUAUCAAGCAUCCUCCUGGAACACAGUAGACCCUAAAAUGCUCAGUGAAUGCAACUCACAUAAAUAACCAAAUGCUUGACUUCAGAGAAGCAUUUAGAAUAAAUUGAUAGGAAAUCCACAGCAAAAACUAGAUAGCAAUGUGAGAACCCUCAAAAUGUCACUUCUCAUCUCUUCCUUGCAACUACUAUUGACCCUACAUGUCUCAGAUCACCAGACUAGGUCAGGAUCGGGGGGUUAGAAAAGUGAAGAGCUCACACCGCAUCAGCUCUGGCUUUAAAUGCCAAGAAUAGUGAUAGGGAUGUCACUAUCAAAGCCUCUUGAGACACUGACGCCACAGACAUUUGCACACCUGGCCUGGCCUCUGCCAGGCAAGAGCAAAUUUGCCUCUGCUCUUGACACCUACAUCUCAGACACUUUUAGUAGGCACUAGACACACAUCAGAGAACAAGGCCAGUCCUUGCUCUCCAGGAGUUUAUAGUCUAAAGCAGAAGGUUCAUAGAUGAACUUCAGGGUGUUCUGGGAAAUUCCUUAAGUUAUGUGCAAAAGAGUGCGUCUAUGUAGAUUGAGAGGGAGGUGGGAAGAGUCAAAUUCUCAAAUGACUUUGUGACUCAAAAAAGGUUAAGAAUCACUGACUUGGGACCAUCCAUUUCCCUCAUUUCUAAGUUGUCGCCAAGUGCCCCAAGCACUUAGAGCACCUCUGCAGAACCUUUGCUGUGUUGGUGACUUGCCUUCCUCUCCAGCUCAUGGCAGACUCCUGGUGGCAGGGGAGGGAAGCACACCUCAUGGUUGCCAUUGUCCCUACUUCCAGGGUCUCUGUCCAGGAAGGAUGAUUCAAUCCAGGGAUUGGCUACCCCUGCUCUUUUGGAUGACUUUGAGCUCAUCUGGUUGGCAGAUCACUGCCUACCCCCUGACAGGCAGAAUGACUAGAGAGGAAUGUUUAUCUUUCCAAAGUACUAUCUGCUUCCCAAGACUUCUCCAGACUAAACAUCCACUGACUAAGAUGGAAAAACACUUUUCUUUUACAAAAAGUCAAAGAGAGCUCAGCAAGUAGUUCAGACUAGGAGGAAGAGGGCAAAGGGAGUGAAUGCGCUGAGCUGAGCAUUUCUGGUCUAGCAGUCCUAUUUCUCAUGCAAAUUCAUAAUGUCAUUCUGAAAUGUCCAUCAUUCAAGUACAUUUUUGUUAGUGUGACUCCCUCUCAAAAUGUGACCACCCAACCCCAGAGACAACUUGCCCCUUCAAAGGGGAUGAACAGAUCCUCCUGGCCUCCCCUUGUAUGACUCCAUCAUUCUCCUCCUAGAUGCUUCACUAUUCUGCUGAUUUCUGUAAGACAUAAAAUACAUUUAGAG
rnacentral:lncRNA from 1 species